rnacentral:tRNA from 2 species
GGAAGUGUGGCCGAGUGGUUUAAGGCAGCGGUCUUGAAAACCGCCGAAUCGAAAGGUUCCGUGAGUUCGAAUCUCACCGCUUCCG